AAACGUGCUCGGAUACCGCUGUAGAGAUUAGAUUAUAUCUCUAUGCCCACAAAAUGCACGAAGAUUAACCUCUUAAUGUUCUUCGAUGAGCCUGCCCGUUUAAGUUUUGAAGCAGGAACAGAUACGGAACUUACAAAC